AUGCAUUUUCUCAAGUGGGGCAUGUGUAGAGUCCCAAGCACCAACACUAUUAUUGCUUUUGAUGAAUGGAAGCAGGAGGAACCGGAGGGUAUACCUUUAGAGAAGGUGUGGGUUCGUUUCUUUGGUGCUCCACCAAAAUUGAUGAAGCAUUUUCUGAUUGCUUGGAGCUUGGGUGGGAUGAUUGGCAAGACUGAAAAAGUGUACAUGCCCUUUACUCAUGCACAAGGGGCUGUGCAGUUACUAGUCAGUGUCGCGAGUGUUGAGCACAUUCCGGAUUUGGUUAGAUGGACAUAUGCUGGAGUCACGUAUAUUUUAGAGCUUGAGAUUGAGGAUACUCCGAUCUCCCAAGAUGGGGAUGAGCCUCAGGAUAUGGACACAACUGAGGGGGGCGGAGCGCCCGGGAAUCAGGAUAAGGGUGCUGACAAUUCUCAACGGGAGUCGGAGAAGGGGCCCGAUGCGCAACCAGAUAAGGCAGAUAGUUCUGCCCAACAGGCGCCACCGUCUACUACUCCGAUGACCACUCUUUGUUUUGGCUCGUUUGGGUCGAGUUCAGCUCCUAGUCGGCUUUGGAGUUCCAGACUUGAGACUGACGACCCGGCGGAGCUUGAGUUGCCUUCGAUCUUGAGUCUGUCCUGCGAGACGACAACUGCACUUGAGAGGCACGUUGACUGUGGCGAUGUCAUGAUGGCUUCCCCUUCGGCCGGGCUGGUUGCUACUCACGAGGUAGCUGCAAGUGGGGAGCCCGACCGGUCUUUUUCGAGAGGGGCACCUGGACAGGUGGUCUGUGCCUCUCCUCCCACCGUGACAGCGGGCCAGUUUUCUUUGGGCGGGUCGCCUGGACAGGAGGUCCGGGGCUCCCUUCCCAUCUCGGCGACGGUGAUUCCUCACGAGAGGGGGGUGAGGUGUGGGAAAGACACCCAUGCUGUAACCCUCUUGCAGGGUCUCGCCAUGCAGAGCGAGGAGUUGGGGGUGAGGUGCGGGAAGGAGUCCCGCGCCCUAACCCCCCCACAGGACGGUGUCGUUCAAGGCGGCCAGGAGUCCCCCUAUCCCCUUCGGCUGGGAUCCUGUCCUCCAUGUCCUUCCCUUCUUCACCGAUGA
rnacentral:rRNA from 1 species